AAAAAGGACAGAGAGGCAUGUAGAAAGCUCUCUACCACAUUUUCUUGUUGCUGACAAGGAAUGCAAGGGGGGACACACUGCGUGGAUUACAGUUUCUGAACCAGCCUCAUGUCUUCUCCUUGUGGCCAGGGCAGUGGCUUGGUGUCAAGGCAUCUCCAGGGGAAUUUUGCCUCCCAGCUGUCUUUUCUAAUAUGUGAGGACAUGACUCGGUUUCUGUGCUCAUCACAACUGCUUCCUCCAAGUGCUGCUGAUAUUACUCGGGGAAGUGAAUCUGAAGCUCUUCUCAACUCAAUGGGUCUUCAGUUUCACCAUCAUAUUUCUUGUGCUACAGGGACUACUAAAGAUGUAGGCUUCCAGCUGUGCCUGAAGUUGUUGGUGCUUUUAAAGGACUCUUUUCUCUGGACAAUGGUUAAUCUGGAUUAUAGAAAAUGUUCCAAAUGAGCAGAAGAAUCCAUAUCAGAUGAUGACAAAAGGAGGAACUAUGGCGGGGUGUAUGUGGGCCUCCCGUCGGACGCAGCCACCAUGGCUCCCAGUCAGACAAAAGCUGCACCCAAAGAUUAGAAAGAAAUAAAGACAUCAAGAUGCAAACAGCCCGAGUCUAUUAAGAACAGUUGCUAGUGCUUUUGGAGAAAGCUGUCUUUGUGCUGAAGAUUUUGAUAUUUACACAGCCUUCCGGAGAGCAAGAGAGAUCAGAGCACGAAAAAAUCUAAACUGUUGCAAGUUCCAACUAUGGGUAAAGCUUAAAGUACAGCGUUGAAUCAGUUUCCAAUGAUAGUUGCAUUAUGGAAACCUCCUGCUGUUCUCCAGUGAAAGAUGAAAUUAGUGAACUCAUGGUGGAUGUUUCUGCACAAGAGCUAACUUUGAUGAUCUGCAACUUAUUUCUCUGUGGCCAUAUUGCAGAUUCCAUCAGCUAUCAGCUAUGCUUUGUAUAUUUCCUUGAACAAGUUUGAUAGAUUUUAUAUAGAAAACCAUCACUACUGUCCACUCAAUAGUUUCUAUGGUAGGUUCCUGUAAAUUAAUUGUUAUUUUACUUCAGAGUAAUAUAUUUGACAAGUUUGCAUCUUUUUGGGAAUAUUGCAAAUUUUAAUAUUUUUGCUGUGAAAUAUUAAGAAUAGGAUGAAACAAGCUUAAGACCUUAACGUUCUUUAUAAUUAUUACUGUCCUUUUUAUACCAUGAGACAAAUAUUAGUGUUUAAUUUUCACCUUGUAAAAAGAUGUUGUUCAAGGAAAUUGAUUCAAAUAAGAACCGUAUACUUAAUUUUAUUAUUUACAUGUCUGUUUAUAGUUUACUUUAGCUAUAUCUCUUUUAUAUUACUGUACAUUCAUGACCAUUUUUAAAAUUAAAAGAAGACAGCAAACCAGAAAAUUUGGACAUGAAGAAAUAAGCCACCGUGAACCGUGAAAUUCCUGCCCUUUUCACUGACACCCAUUACUACCAACGAACUACCAUUGACUAUGAUUUCCAGUAACUUGCAGCUUUCACUUUUAUAUAGUGGUAAUUUGAUGUGAGGCUUGCAAAAAGAGAUAUUUAGAAGUAUUCCUUGUUUGUCCUCUUUUAAUUAUUUGUGACAUUAUUUAUUGCUAUUCUCUAGAAAUCUGCUACUUGGUUUAUCAAUGAUUUCAGGCUUCCAGCUCCUGAAGACAAACAUGCAUCUCAUUCUUAACCAUGCACCUCAAACUGAGAUGAAAUAAGCUUGAAGAUUAAGAUGUGGUGUUAAAAUAUCUCUCAGUAUGAAUGAAAGUCUGUAGAUUAUAUCUGCAGUGUCUUGUUCUUGCAAGCCAGACUGGUGAGGACUCAAGUAGCCCUGGGUGAUAAAUAUGCAGGCUUUUCUCCUACCUGCUUACCAUAGCAUGAGGGUAUAGUUUCCACUUCACAUGUUCCACAAAUGGCCAAAAUGGUUUGCACAAGUUUAUUUAGUACAGAGCAAUGCCUGACCUGAUUACAAUUGUCUUUCCCAAAGCAGAAAAAGCACCAGUCAUCCUAGGAUAUGUCAGCGUUCAGCUUGUGCUCAAAAAGCCAACAGCAGAUGCCAGUAAUCAACCCAGUUGUUUAUUCACUUCUAUCCUUCAGUUGCUGGGAAGAAUCAUCAUAAAGGUGCACAGGGCUAAACUCGAACAUCACUUGUUCUGCUACUGACAUCUGAAGCCCCAUGUGUGGGCAGAGGGAAGAAAGAGGUGAUUGCUGAUAAACAGCUCCUUGCAGCUGGUGGUGGGACAGUUGCAAGGGGUAUUUUCCUUGGUUCACAUCAUUGCUUGUUUUUCCUCUGCAGAGCUACAGAGAAGCUUGGAGCACUUUGCAGAAUUGGUCUUUUAAUGUUUCAUCCUCUGAAUGUGUGGGAGGUACAGUGGUUUCUUAAUAUUUUUGUUCCUCUGCAUCCAAAAGUUUACUGACCAACUGACAAAUGUGCAGUAUCAUAGACUGGAACCUCUAAAAUAGAUGUACAUUCAUUUGUGCUAUGCAGGCCUGUGCCAUCAAACUAAAGAGCUAGGGCCAAGCCCUUGUCUUCAAUUUGCAGAUUCUUGCCUUUUGUUUUCCCAAAGAUCCAUGAAUCUAGAAACUGUGUUACAGGAUGCUGUAUUCUGUCCUGGCCAAAUUCUGAUUUUCUGCUCAUGAAAAGUCCUCUAUGGUGAGCAGCCUUUGUUAAUAAAAGCACAUGUCAUUUCAUGGAGAGAGUAUCUGCUCUUUCAAAACUUACGAUCUAUGGAUAUUUCUGGUAGGAGGAGGAACAGAAAAGAAACCCUAUAUGCCAGCUGCCAGCUGUGCAUGUGACGGCAUCCUUGGAGAAUAUUUAGGCACUCAAAAGAUGGUUCAGUGGGAGAACUGAGAACAGGACACAAGGAACCAUUGAAUGACAGAGUUAUUAUUAAGAAAUAUACUUUGGUUUUGUUGAAACAUCUUGAAUUACCAUUUGUGAAAAAUAAACAUUUAAAUGUUGGGGCUGUAAUACCAUUUUCCUUGCAGUGGUUACUGUUUCUCCAGCCAGAGAUGAGGAGCCAGUGGAAGUAAUUCAGCAAAGAGUUGAUUUGGGCUUUAUAAUCUCAGAAUCUCUGAUCUGAAAUUCUUUGGCAGCCCAGAAAUACUAUGCUUGAAUUCGUGAAUCUUGAAAAAUUCAGGGGUAGGAAAACCUAAGAUUAAAACAACAGUUUGUGACCAGCUGAAAAACACUAGAAAUAUCUUAUAUUGCAAAUUUUGGUCUCGUGCAAACCAUAUCACCUCAAAGCUUCUCUUUUGUAUCAUGCUAAUGAGACAGUGCAUUUAUUUUGCUUUCUACUUAAUGCAGGAGCUUUGGUAUAAGUGCCGAACCUCUCAGUUUCUGGGUAGUCCAGACAGAAAUACUGCCUGUGUUUUAUGUGCCAUACACAUCUUAGUGUAGUUCAGAUGAUGUGACAAUUCUAAGCCUCUGUGUUGCUCAAGGGUUAAAUCUUGUCACUAAGAGAGUUGCAGAAGACCUGGUAAAAGCCACUGUAAGCUCAGUUAUAACUUCAUUUGCUAGAAAUUAAAUCCUUUCCUAGCAAAGAGUCCACACAAGGCUGAAGCUGCAGAAAAUCAUAGAGGUGAAAUUUAUCUCUAAUGAAAACAAAGUACUAAUUUACUUGUUUUCAUCCUGCAUGUCCAACAGAGGAGACUGCUGUAUGGCACUAUGGUUGAAAUGGCAUCACUAUUCCCUGUCACCCACACAAGUCUAGCAAUUCUCAAUAAUCAUGCUUCCCAAGCAGUCAGUGAGUCACUGCUGAUCUGUUUUCUGCAAAGUAGACCUCUGUUUGGUUCCCAUGGUGAUCAGAAGUGACAAUUAUUAUGGGCUGCUACUACAGUUUCUCAGCUGUGUGUGCCCUCUGAAAGAAGCUCUUACCUGUUUAUAGUCCCUGGGUGUUUUGCAGUGCAUCAUCAUUGCUUCAUACUGACAGCAAUUUAAAUGCUUCAGGUGAAUUGACUUUGUGAAAACAGGCUGAAGGAGGAAGAUUUGGGCAGUAUUUUUGUUUUGCAAUGUAUUUAGAACAAGAUGAAGAAAAUAACAACUCUGUAAACUUUCCAUAGAGCAAUGGUGUUCCAGUAUUGCAGGAAAUCUUUUGAGGCUGGGCUAAAUGACUCAGCCCUUGUUUUAAAGACAAUCAAGCACAGAACUUAGGUUUAUCACAAUAGGAGCUACUUCAUUUUACCUCAUCUGACAAUUUUUGCUGAAACUCAGGAGUUUUCAAACACAGAAGAAUUUCCCAGACAGCAGAAAUCUGUCACCCCUGUUGUGGGAUCUUCUGUGUACUGGUCACUAUCUGGUCACUAUUAAAAUACUUAUAGCUGAAGAUAGGACUCAGCUCAUGAACCAGAUCAUUCUGUGAAGUGCAGUGAAACUCUCAUUAGCAUAACUGUACUGAGAAAAGUACCACAGGAUGAAGCCUGGGUAAAAGUGGGCUUUGUGUGCCAGAAAGGAGAAAACACAUAGGAGAACAGGAGAAUGGGGAUUAUUAUGCAGUGAAGACAGAUGUAGAAAUAGGUUAGGAACAGAAAAUUAUGUAAAAAAGGAAAUACCUUAAUUAAGUAUUCACUCCAUUUCUCUGUGAUUCUAAUCUCUAGAAAAUAGAGCAAGAAGUAGACAGCUGCCAAAUUGUUUUAAGACUGAAGAGAAAUGUGAGUUUGCUUAUCAGGUCAUUCCAACCCUCAGAUCUCUGAGACUGCAAACUUUAAGGAAAUAACUUGUCUCAUUUUUAUUUGCUUAAAGUCCAGUGUAAUGAGCCCAUGCACCUUAAAGGUCCUUUUGGGUGUUACCAGGAUAUAUAAAUAUCCUGCUGUCUCUUUCAAAAUUUCUUUUGGCAUUUCCUUAGUUUAUGUCUCUAUGCAGACUGUGAAAAUACUCAAGAUGUAAAAACAAUUAACAGGAUUAAUAUAAGAAUAGAUUACAGAACAUGCAAAAAGGAAGCCAAUGUUUCAUCUGAAAAACAGUGUAGAGAUAGAACUUUAACUUUGGUUUAGUUAUGCCAUGUAUUUUAGAUUUAUGAUAUAACUAACGAAUCACUGUGCAAGUGAUUCAUUUGGGUCACAGCACCUUAUUGGUACUCUAGAAUUUUGUUUGGUACUCACAGAAUUUUGUUUCUAGUCUUUGAUUCAGACUAGAUUCUAGCAUUCAUCCUAUGUUACAGGAGAUGGCACUAAUGUGAAAUACUAAAUGCCACUCUUCACCUUUGUUGCCCACCUCUUGUGUUGUCUGAAUCUCAGUGUUGUCUGCAGGAUGGCUUCGUCUCCAAAAAAAGCUGAGGUUGUGAUUCAGAAUGACAGUUAAUUAGAAGAAAGUCAUAUUUGAUAACAGUUUUAUGGGGGAUACCAGACUGCUAGAAAGUGCAAGACUUCAUUGCCAUUAGGGAGGUAGUCAAACUUUGGAGAGUCCACACUGUGUCACUAUCAAACUUGACUUGGCAGUUUGCAAUAUAAAACCACACACAUAAAUAAACAAAAUCUGGGAGGUAACACACACUUUCAAGCUUAUAUCUAAUAUCAUGUUUAUGGUUAUGUAUUACUGGAGUCUGACUGUAACCUUGAGCUGUGAAUAUUUACCUAAACUACAGCUAGGUUUGCCUUCCCCAAAGGAUAUUGCUAUGAGGAAGCCUUGGAAGGACUCCCACUGCCUGGUUUGUUUGUAGGAGCCUCACAUGGUUAUGGGAAAUCAACCAAUAGAGUUUCUCUAAAAUUAAAAUAUUUAAUCAGAUUAUAAUGUAUAAAUAAUAUCAACUUGAUCAAACUCCAAGUACCUGGUUAUUAAAACAAUGUACUUAUUAUUUGAAGUCUCACAUGAAAUCAGCUGCCUGCUUCUUUUUCCUCUUCCAAAUUGUGAGUUACCUUAAUAAAUAAAUAAAUAAAUUCUUUUGGCUUUACAUGGAACUGCUUCAGAUCAUCAGAUAGAACCAAACCAUUUUUGGCAGGGAAUUAAUUUCUAAUAAGGAAACUGUGCCAGCCAGGAAAGACAGAGGGCUUUUAAAUUCAAAAUUAUUUUAAUAGGAUGAAUAGUAGUUGGAGAAUUUACACAGGACUGUUAAAGAGCCUUUGUUUAAGAAAUUAUUGCUUGUGUAAGCAUUGCUUCUUGAGAAACCCAAGAUUUCCAGUGAAAAGAACCCUGAAAAUCACCACUUGAAAAAUAAGUUUUGAUUUAUGAUAAUAUUUUCUCAAGAGCAGAAUUGUGUUUUUCUCCUUGAAUUUCAAGAGGAAGCCAAAUUCUCAUUGGAGCCAGUGAGUAAACAGUCUACCUUUCCUUGCCUGCAAACAAUCACAGAUAAUUCUCAUUCAGAGGUACAAGAAAAAACAUAACUGGUUUUAGGAACAUAUAUGUUCAUACACUUGAAAUAAAUCCAAAUCUUUAACAAACUGGUGUAGAUUAGACUAGAUUUCAUGCUCUUCCUUUCAAGUAUUAUCAUUAAAACAUGAUACUUCUUUUUUUUUUUUUUUUUCUUUUUGGUUGAAAUAAUCCCAGCAAAAAUAUUUCUUCCUUGUGAGUUGCAAGAACAUGUAAUUCUUUAUAAUUUGCAGCACUUCUUGCACUAUUUCUUUUUUUUUACCUAGAGUUCAACUUCUGGCAUAAAAAACCUCUGCCACAGACUAUGUUUUCCCGAUGGGCUAUGCUCACACCUGUGCUCAGCUGAGCAUUCCAAGUUGGUGCUGCUGGAGAUUUUAUCCUGAACGCUUCACUACUCAGCUGUCUGUCUCAACUUCAGUUGAAACAGGGACAGUGUUGUUUGAUCAUUCUGCAGGAGGAACAUUUACUGCAUGUAUGACUGUGUCAUCUGGAGAUUUGUACUGGCACAGUUUGAGGAGUCUUCAUUAUCCAUGAGGAUAUUGAAACCUCAUCUUGGCUCCUGCAUGACACCUACUUGAAAUGGUUUAGCCCCAACCAGCAACUAAGGCCCACAAAGCCACUCUCUCACUCCUCCCAGGUGGGAUGGGAGAGAAAACUGGAAAAGUGAGAUAACUCAUGGACUGAGAUAAAGCAAAAGCUUCACACACAACCAAAACAAAUAAGGAAUUAAUUCACCACUUCCCAUGGGCAGGCAGGUGUUCAACAAUCUCGAGGAAAGCAGGGCUGUGGCACACCUAACACUGACUUGGGAAGACGAACACCAUCACUCUGAAAGUCCUCCCCCUUCAUUCUUCUUCCCCCAGCUUUAUAUGCAGGUAUGGAAUGUCCCUUGCAUCACUGGGGGUGAGCUAUCCUGCCUGAGUCCCCACCCAGCCUCUUGUGAGCCAUCAGUCCACUUGCUGGUGGGAUGGUAAGAGGCAGAGAUGGCCUUGAUUCUAUGCGAGCCCUGCUCAGCAAUAAUGAAAACAUCCCUGAAUUACUAACUCUGUUCCCAGCAAAAAUCCACAAAAACACAGCCUCACAGAGUAGCCUGAGCUACUCUGAAGGAAAUAAACUCUUAACCCAGCCAACAGCAGCAAGCUCCUUCAAAUUUUGUGUUACAAAGUUGGAAGGCACAAAAUGGUGGGAAAGUGUCUCCAUCACAUUUCAGUUUGUGCAGUGAUGUGCAGAACAAGAGUAAGCACUACUGGUAAAUUAGUUGGAUGGAUGACUUGGCCACACUUCAGUCUCUUCGGAGUGGCUUGAAAUGGUGACAAAAGGAGCAACAUAAGUAAUCAGUAUCACAAAUACCUGUAUUAAACAUUGCAAAUGCUAGUGGUAUCUGGUGUUCUGUCCUGUGAAAAUUUCACUUGCAUGCCCCUGUAGGUGGUAAAGGAAAUUACUCCUGGUAGAGUUUUUACCCUAAAAAUUAAUUCUUCAGAGUGGCUGAUCAGUUUUCUUGCCUAGGUCAUGGGGUCUGGCUGAUGUACACAGGGUGUAGCUCUUCAUAAUCCGGAACCUCCGCUCUGCAGCCUGCCAGUUUUGUCACAUAGUCACAUUUGUCACUGUAGUGCACCUCCAUGCUGUCUGCCCAUGUGAAUAGUCACAGUGGCCUGGAGAAAGAGCUGGUUGACUGCUGAGGUAGAAGGACACAUCCAUGGCAUACUCCCUCUGUUGAUCCCACUGUCUCUUUGUUGCUCUCAGUGAGGUAUGGCAGCUACACAUCAACCAAGGGAGCAACCACAUGCUGGUGAUCAUCCCUAGGCCAGCUGCGUCCCCACCCAGGACAGCAGGCCAGCACAAACACUGCUGUGCUGGAGAGGCUGGGCUGGUCUUUGGCUGGCCAAAGUCUUAAGCAAUGCUGGUGUUUGUUUUUCUGCCACCCUUGCUCUCUUAGCAGCAGAACCCAAGAAACUGCACUGACUUUCCUUUUAUGUGCCUCCUGGACAAGCCUCAUGUUCAGAGCUGUGCUGGUGACAAUCAAAUUAAUCAUCAUCCCAUCAUCCAUUGUACAUUGCUAGGCUCUCCCAGCAGUCUCCGAGUCUUAUCCCAGGCUGUAGGCUGAAUAAAUCCUUGACCAAAGUAGGUCAGCAAACCAUGCCUGGCCUCGAGAAACAGUUUGAUCAAGGACAGCAAAUUUCUCACUAUUGUUCUUAAGAAUUUUCUUCAAAAGUAAUAAUUUUCUUUCAAAUGGGAAAGAGCUUUACAGACGUGGAUGGCAAUGAAAGCUCCCUGAAGCUUGGAUCCUCUGCCAGUACUUUACAGAAAAAGUGUUCUGAUCUGAUAAGAGAGAAUCCCAAAGCAGGGGAUUUACAAAAGAAAAAAAUUAAAAAUGCGUAAGGAAUCCUUUGUAAUGAACCUUCAUACACCUCUGGCAUUCUCAUUUCUGUAACAUUCAAUUGCUCGUUCCUUAAAAGCAGACAAUAUCUGAAGCUUUGUUUCCAUAAUAUCUAUACAUGUAAUUUUAGCGGCUAAAAAUGUACCUUUUUUCAAAAUAGUUAUUUCAAAUUUUGAAAAAAGUUGCUCUAUGUCUACUAUCCCGAUUCCCAAAUGUAUCCAAAUUCCCAAAUUUCCCAAAUUAAUUAACCAAUCACUUCAAAGCAUCUGGUCCUUCAUUUUUCACUUUAUGGUUUCAUUUUAAUAGAUAGACUCAAGUGCUGGUUUUAAAAUGAGGGGUUAUGAAAUUUUACAAAAUAUUUAGCAAUGAGAACGCUAACAGUACUACUUUUCACUUUGGCACUGCCUGCGACAAAGUUAUAGUUUGUGGAUAUAACUUAAAAAUCAAAUUAUUUUAAAUAACUUUGCCUCUAAAGGAGCUUUUAGAUUAAGCCCCAAAGAUUAGAGUAUAUAAAAAUGAGGCAUCUGGGCUACUUCAGAUUGUCCUCUAAGCCAUAAAAAUAUAUCUCUGAGGUUUUUUCUAUAGAGAAAUUCUUGCUGUUGUCCAGUGAUUCAUUAGAGCUCUGGUCUAGCCUCUCUACAGAUGUUACUAUUAUUCUGCAAUGAAAAAAGGCAAGCAGCCAUUUCUGGUCACUCUGUAAAGUCUUGAAAGCAAUAUAGCUUAAAAUAAAUGUUUGUAUCCUGCGGUGUUCUUUUGACCCCCAAUGCACUUUAGGCACUACUAAACUAUAAAUAAGAUCAAAAGAUUCACUCUCUCAUGCCCAGAAAAUUUGAAGAAUACCAAAAUUAGGCUUCCUGAUAUAUUUCUAUUAGGACACAUUUUUUGACAACGUGAUCAAUAUUAUUUUUAUGCUACAAUAGAUUAACCUAAUUGGAUAUUUAUGGAAAAGUAUAUUUUCUCUUGGAAUUUUGCCAAUGCUUGUUUAUUCAUUUUAUAAUUAUUUUAUCCUUGCUUUGGGCCAAUUUGUUGCCCGGGAUUAUGCUUUCCUUGCCUGUGUGCAAGUUUGAUAAUAAAAAUUCAAUUGUUUAUGUCCUUUCUUAUUUUUGGACUACUGAAAGCUGGUUCUUUAUUAACAAAAUAUGGAUAAUUAAUGAGGGCAACAUCUCAUAUUGUCAGUUGCUAUCUAAAAUGCAAAUCUUGAAAAUGUCAAAUCUUCAGAUUGCUAUAACUCAAAUUAUUUUGUUUUGCCGUUACUGAAAUUUACUGGGAACUCAAAAGCUUCCAUCAUCCUGCUGAAUGGGUUAAAAUAAACUUCAAGAGAAAAAGAAGGGUGGUACCCUUUCUGCUUCCUGAAAACUCAUGUAGGUAGAGCAAGGGAAAGCUGAGCAGAGUUUGUACCCAUGAUGUUGUCUGUGAGGCUCUUGGGACCACCAUCAAGGCUAGGAGUCCACACAGGGCCAGAAGGCAGCCUUGGGAGAGUACCUGGAAGGGGAUUGUCCUUGGAUUGCUGUGCCCGGUGCCGCUCAGACACAAGCGUCCCUUUCCAUGGUAAGGACACCCAGGGCUCAUCGCAGCCCAGGCACGCCGUUCUUCCCCCGAAAGCGCAGCAGGCGCAGCGCCGCUGCCCAGCAGAGAGCAGCGUUGCUCCACAGCGAGCGCUGCCGGCGCCAUCCCGGCCGCUGGAAGCGGCUCCCGCAACGCCGCGCAGGCCUUGGACCCAGGGCCGGCUGCGGGGUAAUGGCCACACGGAGGGAACAGCGAUUUUCCCCGUGCGGCCCGGGAGGACAAGGAGCUACAAAAUCACCGCAUUGAGAGUAUUUAAUGGGGAAAAAAACCAAACUUGAAUGAAAAGCUUUUGGUCUGUGGAGGUCAGAGGUUCUUUAUUCUAGGGUGCUCCUAAGCAUGAGAAAAAUUUGAGUUCUUUAGAUCAGAUGCUUUCCAUGAGAAGUUUUAAAAUUUCUGGUCCUGCAAGCUGUGAGAGGUGCCAGGGUCAGUGCCAUCAGAGGUGAAAGUUGCCUACAAAUGGAACUGAGCCCAGCUGGGGUCUGGCCCACACACACUGGCAUCAUCUUCACCUUGGUCUUUGCCAGCCUUUGGAAGCUUCUGAGACCAUGUGGUUUGUCAGGAAUGAGUCUGAGCUGGACCUGCUUGAAGCCAGCUGCUGAUCCCACAGGCUGUGAGCUGGCAAAAUUCCUUUUCCCAAGGGCCCCGUGAGGUAUGUUCAGUGUACACUGAAUGUUUCCUCAGAGCCCAUGAUUCCGUCUCCUCCAAGGACUGAACUGUCUGGCAGAGUUUUGGUUUUGCUGUGGAGGGCAAAGCAAGAGCUGGGUGCUGGGGCAGGGCUGGUCCUUUGGAGCAGCCUCCCAGCAUCAGAAGGGGUCAGCCCCAAGGCUGUGCGUGUGCUUGGUGCUGGAGGUGCCUCUCCACCCUUAGCUACCUUGCAGUGGCAGUUCAUUUCUCAUGGACAAUCACUUCAAGCUUAUUCUUCAUUUGGGCUGGGUUUGAAAUGGCAUCUGGAAGGAAAGAAACCCAAUGUCCUUGUCCCUCUGCCCCACAGAGCUUUCCUUGGUGGGCCCAGGAAUGUUCCUCCUUCUGACACUUCCCAUUACCUCUGACCUUUAGUUUCUUUAAGAAGCUGUGCUAUUUCAGUCAGUUUUCCAUACAUAUUUAGUUAUGUUAGGAAAAAUACUUUUGCCAGCAGGAGGAUUCCACAGUCCAACACAGAAAAGGCAUUAAUGUAAUUACUUGGGGUGAUAUUUUCAUAGUAAUAAAAAAAGAAUUCCAGAGAAGGAUUAUUUCUACAUCAGCACAGACUAAGUGCAGAGUAUGUAAUUUGUCUCGGUGUAUUUUACAGCUGUGGAGGGUAGUGGAUGACCAGGUUUACAGAGAUUCUCUGGGCCUGUUUCAGUGCAGGGAGAGAUGUGUCACAGCUAAGCCUUCCCCAGCACUUCAGAGACAUUUCUGGAUCAUGUGCUGCCAGUCCCAGGCUCUAUUCCAGUUUCUCUUUGAGUGAUUUGUGCGUAAUGAGUACAAGACAUCCCAGGGCACUUUCGGCACUUGUCAUUACUCACUCACAUUAUUCCAUCUGUCCUCAUGUUGUGCAGGGCUUGACUUCAAGGGCUUUUUCAAUGCACCAAGAAACCCAGAGGUACAACACAAACAGCCCUGCUAGAGGAAAAUGCCAUGGCCUUGAUUCUCCCGCAGGGCUGAGACAGGGAGAGAAGAACAGGAUUUAGCUGUGCUGCCCAGUGGUACAUUAGAGGAUGUGUAGAUACCUUUGAUUUUUUGUACCUGUGUAGGAUGAAUAAAAUCAGGCAGAUGAAUGAACAUGCCCUUGUUCUGAAGAAAAGUGGACGAAAUGUGGUAACUCAUGUCCAAGGCCAAGCCUGAGAGAAAAAUAAAUUUUCCCAUGUGUUGAAAUGUGGACCCUGCAGAACUUGUCCCACACCCAUGCAGAGCUACUGGGCUGGCUGCGAACACAGUGAGAGCAGAAUUGGUCCUGCAUUUGCUGUGCACACAAGUGGCUGAUUUCUCUGGGGACAGAGCACUGCAGGGAAUGCCCAGUGUCCUCUGAGCUUGUGUUUCUGCCAUUGUUUGCUGUCUAACCAGAUGUAAAAACUGCUUGGAUGUUUUCCCAGUCAUUGGUAAUAGUUGUAUCCCAUGGAGAACUCUACCGUCUAAUGGAGGAAGGGCUUCUGCCAUAUCUUCAGAGGGAGAACAGGGAAGGAGGAUUAAAAAAAUCUUUCACUGACAUAGGAAUGAUAUGAUCCCAAAUGACUCUUAGCCUUAAAAGGCACUUCAAGAGUUUUUUUCCUCAGUAGUCAUGUGUAAAUGUAAUUUUUUUUUUCUACAGCAGCCUUGGGGGAAAAAACAAAGACUGUCUGCGCAGUAACUGAGCCUGUACCAUGUAAGCUACUGCACUCUUUAAAAUCUCAUUAGAUUUUAGAGAUAAUAACUCUGGUGCCAUGACAGUGAUAAUUUCUCUGCUGACAGGCUGAACACUCCAGCAGUAGCUCAGCUGUAACUCCUGGAAUUAGGAAUUCCUGCUGAGAUCCAGUGGCCAUACCCCAGGCUGUGUCCCUACAUCUUCCUGCCAUUUGGCUGAUGUGGUGUCCUCCUCCUGCCAACGCUCUGACUGUAAGAAUGGAGCACUAUUACUCCUGAAAUAGCUGAGACCUGUUGUACAGCCCAGUAAAGUUGCUGAAGCAUUUAUUUUGGAUUUCAAAAGGUUUGGCUCUAGGCAUCGGCAGCAUUGCUCUUGCUCAACAGGAAACUGGAAGAAAACUUUGGUAAAUCAGCCAAACUAAUAUUCUGCAGGGUAAUCAUAGCUGCUCAAAACCAAGAUUAGGUGUGAAACAGGAAGUGUGUAAAAGAUUACCUACCAUUAUUUUUAAAAGCUUUAUCUGAAAUUAUCCAAGCUACCUCAGCCAUGCUUUAACUUGGUGAAAUAGAUGUGUCUGUCUUUCUAUGUGUAUAUGGGCUUUACACUAAAAUUCAGGAAGCAUCAAAUUUCAGCUUUCAUCUUGUGGCAUCUCAGCUUGAUGCACAGGCAAGGUAGCUGCCAAGAGCAGAAGUUGCCUUAGGCCUUCCUUUGCUAAUUUCAAACUCCUGGAGAGCUGAGCCUGGUGCUCAGGAGGAGAUGGAAGUGACCAUAAGCUAGCACUGCUUGCCUAAGACACAAAGAUCUUUCAUAGCAGCAGAUCUUGCCCUUGCUCCUGCCAGUCCCUCUGACUUUCCAUGCUGCUGUUCCUUUGCUCCUUGCUGUGUUCCUUGCUGCUGUGUGUCACCUGCCUGGCCGCAUCCUUGAGCUGAUGGAUUCUCUUGCUGCCUACUCUUCUGAAAGGUCCAGAGCUGCUGCACCUGCGCCCAGGCUCCGCUUUGAUGGCUUCACCAGUUCUGCCUGGCUGUGCUGUUCUCAGAGGUCACUGACACAUAGACAUCUAAAUUAGCUUGAAACUUGUGCUGAAUGUCCUUAAAAUAAAGCAAAGCCACUAGAAACUGUAUGCCAUUUCCUGAAAGCAGCUGGUUCUUGUUUCCUUCAGAGAAAGGAUGCUGAAGCAGAACUGAGACUUUGCAUGGCUAUUCAUGCAUUGGUGUUGUUCCGAAAAAUAAUGUGAGCACAUUAGAGUGGAGCUAACCUGCCAAAAUCUUGGUAAAGGGGGAUCACCCUGCAUUUCAGUCAUAACUUGGAAUAAAGGUUCUAAAGGUUUCUUGACUGCUGUCUAAUGUUGUGCUGUUCUUUCAGUAAAAAAACUGCUCCUACUGUCUUUCAUUCAUCACAUUUAUGUGAUAUUUUGUACAAAGAGUUCUUUAAAAACCUUCAAUAUGCUAAAUGGGAGAGAUUGACAGUCAGGAAAGGGUGUGUAACGUAAAACCUGGGGAAAUGAAUUAAUUAGUAUGCAAGUGAAUGAUGUAAUUUUGUUGAUAUUAAAUUAAUUGAUUAAAAGGCC